rnacentral:piRNA from 2 species
UUGGGUUGAUUUUAAUCUGAAAAGAGCUG